GACGAACGCUGGCGGCGUGCCUAAUACAUGCAAGUCGAACGCUUCUUUCCUCCCUUUUUCUUGCACUCGAUUGGAAAGAGGAGUGGCGGACCGGUGAUUAACACGUGUUUAACCUACCCUUCAUACGGGGAUAACACUUUGAAACAGGUUCUAAUACCGCGUAACAUUUUAUGCCGCAUGGCGUAAGAGUGGAAGGCGCUGUCGUGUGUCGCUGAUGGAUUGAUCCGCGGUGCAUUAGCUAGUUGGUGUGGUAACGGCUCACCAAGGCGACGAUGCAUAGACGACGUGAGAGGGUGAUAGCACACACUGGAACGGAGACACGGACAAGAGUACUACGGGAGGCAGCAGUAGGGAAUGUUAGGCAAUGGACGAAAGUCUGACCGAGCAACGCCGCGUGAGUGAAGAAGGUUUUCGGAUCGGAAAAAUCUGUUGUUAGAGAAGAACAAGGACGUUAGUAACUGAACGUCCCCUGACGGUAUCUAAUCAGAAAGCCACGGCUAACUACGUG
rnacentral:rRNA from 1 species